AACGCGAAGAACCUUACCUGGUCUUGACAUGUACGGAAUCCUCCAGAGACGGAGGAGUGCCUUCGGGAACCGUAACACAGGUGCUGCAUGGCUGUCGUCAGCUCGUGUCGUGAGAUGUUGGGUUAAGUCCCGCAACGAGCGCAACCCUUGUCAUUAGUUGCCAUCAUUAAGUUGGGCACUCUAAUGAGACUGCCGGUGACAAGCCGGAGGAAGGUGGGGAUGACGUCAAGUCCUCAUGGCCCUUAUGACCAGGGCUUCACACGUCAUACAAUGGUCGGUACAGAGGGUAGCCAAGCCGCGAGGUGGAGCCAAUCUCACAAAACCGAUGUAGUCCGGAUUGCACUCUGCAACUCGAGUGCAUGAAGUCGGAAUCGCUAGUAAUCGCAGUCAGC
rnacentral:rRNA from 1 species